ensembl:lncRNA
UGAGCAAUCAUGGCAGGUGAUUUCGGGAAGAGAGAACAGAGGACUCCGGGAGAAGCCGGGAAGGGUCAGGCCCCUGCCUGGAAGGGGCGUUCACCUGGGAAACACCGUCUUGCAGGGGACCAAAGCCAUCCUUUGCCAGAAAUCUCCGCUCUGAUGAUCUGCAGAUGUGUGAACCCCGCGCCCAGUGGAAGUGGAGACGAUAAACUCACUGAGGGAAUGAGCCUGCGAUGCACAGUGAGGCUGCAGCUCCUCCGGGGACCUGGCAUGCCCGUGCCCUCUGCAGACGGCGGCACGGCCUUGGUCCUCUCUGCCCGCAGCUGAGCAUCUCUCUAGUCCACCCGCGGGCGCCGUUCCAGGCGGCGCUGGGCCCGGAAACUCCGAAGACUCGCUCAGGCUGCAGGCUGGCGUCCUGGGUUCUGCCUCGGCAUCCAGGGCCGCGCGGGUGUUUCUGCGUUUGCCUGUGACCGCGUGUCCUCAGGAGGGCUGCGAGAGGCCCCUCCGCAGGUGUGGGGUCCUUCUCAGAGUCCACUCCGGAGCUGACCCCCUUGUCUGGGCCGACCAUCACCUGGGCUUCCUUCUCCCACGCUGGCUUCUCAUUCGUGACCAUCUGUAAUAAGACGAUCCGUUUUCAUGUUUUAGUUCUGUUUCCCAGCCAUGUGCUCGGUGAUCUUCGUGGCAGUUCCUCCCGUCUGAUUCUCGUGGGUUUCCCGGGAGCCUGGGGGUAAUUCAGCUCCUUCUUCCUGUUUUAACCCUCUGAUCUGCCCCCCACCCCCAACAGAUAGUUCAAAAGGGUAAUGGCUCCAGUGGGGGUGGCACAGCCCCCCGACCACCACCGGGCUCCUGGGGGGGAGUGGUCCCUGAGGACGAGUCGCCUGCCCCUCAUCCCCUGGAUAGCGCCUGUCUACAGCAGCAACAGCCACAGAGAGGGGGGCGUGAUUCUUCUCCUUACGCC